UACGUAGGGACCGAGCGUUGUCCGGAAUCAUUGGGCGUAAAGAGCGUGUAGGCGGCCUUUUAAGUCCUGCGUGAAAUCCUGCGGCUCAACCGCAGACGGUCGUGGGAAACUGGAAGGCUAGAGUGCGGGAGAGGAGAGUGGAAUUCCCGGUGUAGCGGUGAAAUGCGCAGAUAUCGGGAAGAACACCCGUGGCCGAAGGCGGCUCUCUGGAACGCAACUGACGCUGAGACGCGGAAAGCGUGGGGAGC
rnacentral:rRNA from 1 species